ACGAACGCUGGCGGCUGCUUAACACAUGCAAGUCGAACGGAGUGGCGAACGGGUGAGUAACGCGUGAGCAACCUGCCUAUGACAGUGGGAUAGCCUCGGUAAACCGGGAUUAAUACCGCAUAGUCAUAGAUGGGGUCGAGUCUGUUUAGCUAGUUGGUGAGAUAACAGCCCACCAAGGCGACGAUCAGUAGCCGGUCUGAGAGGAUGGACGGCCACAUUGGAACUGGGACACGGUCCAAACUCCGACGGGAGGCAGCAGUGGGGAAUAGUGCACGAUGGGUGAAACCCUGAUGCAGCGACGCCGCGUGAACGAAGAAGGUAUUCGUAUCGUAAAGUUCUGUCCUAUGGGAAGCAGUACCAUAGAAGAAAGCUCCGGCUAAAUACGUGCCAGCAGCCGCGGUAAUC
rnacentral:rRNA from 1 species